rnacentral:rRNA from 1 species
AUUGAACGCUGGCGGCAGGCCUAACACAUGCAAGUCGAACGAGUGGCGGACGGGUGAGUAAUGUCUGGGAAACUGCCCGAUGGAGGGGGAUAACUACUGGAAACGGUAGCUAAUACCGCAUACCAUCGGAUGUGCCCAGAUGGGAUUAGCUAGUAGGUGGGGUAGCGGCUAACCGAGGCGACGAUCCCUAGCUGGUCUGAGAGGAUGACCAGCCACACUGGGACUGAGACACGGUCCAUACUCCUACGGGAGGCACCAGUGGGGAAUAUUGCACAAUGUGCGAAAGCCGGAUUGAGCCAUGCCGCGUGUAUGAUGAAGGCCUUCGGGUUGUAAAGUACUUUCAGCGAGGAGGCGUUACUCGCAGAAGAAGCACCGGCUAACUCCGUGCCAGCAGCCGCGGUAAUAC